rnacentral:rRNA from 1 species
ACGGAGGGUGCAAGCGUUAUCCGGAUUCACUGGGUUUAAAGGGUGCGUAGGUGGGCAGGUAAGUCAGUGGUGAAAUCUCCGGGCUUAACCCGGAAACUGCCGUUGAUACUAUUUGUCUUGAAUAUUGUGGAGGUAAGCGGAAUAUGUCAUGUAGCGGUGAAAUGCUUAGAUAUGACAUAGAACACCAAUUGCGAAGGCAGCUUACUAUGCGAUAAUUGACACUGAGGCUCGAAAGCGUGGGUAGCAAACAGGA